GGAACCUUCCACAAUGGGCGCAAGCCUGAUGGAGCAACGCCGCGUGUGUGAUGAAGGGUUCCGGCUCGUAAAACACUGUUGUAAGAGAAGAAUGACAUUGAGAGUAACUGUUCAAUGUGUGACGGUAUCUUACCAGAAAGGAACGGCUAAAUACGUGCCAG
rnacentral:rRNA from 1 species